rnacentral:misc_RNA from 1 species
GAUGAAGAACGUAGCGAAAUGCGAUACGUAAUGUGAAUUGCAGAAUUCAGUGAAUCAUCGAAUCUUUGAACGCAUAUUGCGCUCUCUGGUAUUCCGGAGAGCAUGCUUGUUUGAGUAUCAGUAAACACCUAAACUUCCAUAUCUUUUUUGAAAUGGGAGUUGGACUUGAGUGAUCCCAACGCUUUUCCUCACCGAAAAGUGGCGGGUUACUUGAAAUGCAGGUGCAGCUGGACUUUUCUCUGAGCUAUAAGCAUAUCUAUUUAGUCUGCCUAAAAACAGAUUAUUACCUUUGCUGCAGCUAACAUAAAGGAGAUUAGUUCUUGUGCUGACUGAUGCAGGAUUCACAAAGACAGGCUUCGGCCGACUUUGUAAACUCGAUCUCAAAUCAAGUAAGACUACCCGCUGAACUUAAGCAUAUCAAUAAGCGGAGGA